rnacentral:rRNA from 1 species
GUGCGUAGCGUCUAUAAGUAUGAUGUGAAAUCUCCCGCUACUGGGAAGGUGCGCUAUAGACUGUGGGACUAGAGUGUGGGAGAGAAAGUGGAAUUCCUGGUGUAGCGAUGAAAUGCGUAGAUAUCAGGAGGAACACCGGUGGUGUAAACGGCAUCUGGACCAUAACUGACGCUGAGGCACGAAAGCGUGGGUAGCAAACAGGAUUAGAUACCCUGGUAGUCCACGCCCUAAACGAUGCAUAUUUGGUGUGGGUCAUUCAGUUGAUCCGUGCCGGAGCUAACGCGUUAAAUAUGCCGCCUGGGGAGUACAGUCGCAAGGCUGAAACUCAAAGGAAUUGACGGGGGCCCGCACAAGCGGUGGAGCAUGUGGUUUAAUUCGACGCAACGCGAAGAACCUUACCUGGGCUCGAAAUGCUAUGGAUCAGCUUAUGAAAGUAGGCCUUCCCGCAAGGGACCGUAGUAUAGGUGCUGCAUGGCUGUCGUCAGCUCGUGUCGUGAGAUGUUGGGUUAAGUCCCGCAACGAGCGCAACCCUUGUCCUGUGUU